UACGGAGGGUGCGAGCGUUGUCCGGAAUCACUGGGCGUAAAGGGCGCGUAGGCGGCUUGCCAAGUCAGGGGUGAAAUCCUGCAGCUUAACUGUAGAAGGGCCUUUGAUACUGGCAAGCUCGAGGGAGGUAGGGGUAUGUGGAACUUCCGGUGGAGCGGUGAAAUGCGUUGAUAUCGGAAGGAACGCCGGUGGCGAAAGCGACGUACUGGACCUCUUCUGACGCUGAGGCGCGAAAGCUAGGGGAGCAAACGGG
rnacentral:rRNA from 1 species